UACGGAGGAUGCGAGCGUUAUCCGGAUUUAUUGGGUUUAAAGGGUGCGUAGGCGGACUGUCAAGUCAGCGGUAAAAUUGAGAGGCUCAACCUCUUCCCGCCGUUGAAACUGGUGGUCUUGAGUGGAUGAGAAGUACGCGGAAUGCGUGGUGUAGCGGUGAAAUGCAUAGAUAUCACGCAGAACGCCGAUUGCGAAGGCAGCGUACCGGCAUCCAACUGACGCUGAGGCACGAAAGCGUGGGGAUCAAACAGG
rnacentral:rRNA from 1 species